GACGAACGCUGGCGGCGUGCCUAAUACAUGCAAGUAGAACGCUGAAGCUUGGUGCUUGCCCCGAGCGGAUGAGUUGCGAACGGGUGAGUAACGCGUAGGUAACCUGCCUGGUAGCGGGGGAUAACUAUUGGAAACGAUAGCUAAUACCGCAUAAGAGUAGAUGUUGCAUGACAUUUGCUUAAAAGGUGCAAUUGCAUCACUACCAGAUGGACCUGCGUUGUAUUAGCUAGUUGGUGAGGUAACGGCUCACCAAGGCAACGAUACAUAGCCGACCUGAGAGGGUGAUCGGCCACACUGGGACUGAGACACGGCCCAGACUCCUACGGGAGGCAGCAGUAGGGAAUCUUCGGCAAUGGACGGAAGUCUGACCGAGCAACGCCGCGUGAGUGAAGAAGGGUUUCGGAUCGUAAAGCUCUGUUGUAAGAGAAGAACGAGUGUGAGAGUGGAAAGUUCACACUGUGACGGUAUCUUACCAGAAAGAGACGGCUAACUACGUG
rnacentral:rRNA from 1 species